rnacentral:rRNA from 1 species
UUGGAAGUAAAAGUCGUAACAAGGUCUCCGUUGGUGAACCAGCGGAGGGAUCAUUACCGAGUUUACAACUCCCAAACCCAAUGUGAACGUUACCAAACUGUUGCCUCGGCGGGAUCUCUGCCCCGGGUGCGUCGCAGCCCCGGACCAAGGCGCCCGCCGGAGGACCAACCAAAACUCUUAUUGUAUACCCCCUCGCGGGUUUUUUUAUAAUCUGAGCCUUCUCGGCGCCUCUCGUAGGCGUUUCGAAAAUGAAUCAAAACUUUCAACAACGGAUCUCUUGGUUCUGGCAUCGAUGAAGAACGCAGCGAAAUGCGAUAAGUAAUGUGAAUUGCAGAAUUCAGUGAAUCAUCGAAUCUUUGAACGCACAUUGCGCCCGCCAGUAUUCUGGCGGGCAUGCCUGUCCGAGCGUCAUUUCAACCCUCGAACCCCUCCGGGGGGUCGGCGUUGGGGAUCGGCCCUGCCUUGGCGGUGGCCGUCUCCGAAAUACAGUGGCGGUCUCGCCGCAGCCUCUCCUGCGCAGUAGUUUGCACACUCGCAUCGGGAGCGCGGCGCGUCCACAGCCGUUAAACACCCAACUUCUGAAAUGUUGACCUCGGAUCAGGUAGGAAUACCCGCUGAACUUAAGCAUAUCAAUAAGCGGAGGA